GGAAACACACCCCUACCAUGGCAGAGACCAGAGUCCUCCUCACCUGAACCAAGCGGGCCCUCAGCGCAGCCGCAGCCCCGCCCCCUGCAGCAGCUCCGCCCUUCUCUCUCCGAACCCUGAGGUCUCCAGUUAAAUGAGACCCCUCAGAGCAGUACAGACUCUAGAGUAAGUUCUCCCUGUCACUCCCACAGUGCCUCACUCCUCUCUUGAGGGUACCUGACCUGAAUCUCUAUGCGCAUGCCUUCCUUUAUCUUUAUACGGCUCAUCUCCUCCACUCGGUGAACCUCAUGUCCCUGAGCACCAGAUCGAACCGUGUCCGGCAUGAAGUAGACUAGCUAUCCCCAACCUGUCGAGGGGUGGCUAGAAGAAGGGGCCCUGGCUUCCUUGCCUCCAAUUCCGUGAAUUGGGGGUGAAUUCUACUAACCUCACAUGGAAAGUCCAGGACUUUUGGGACUCCCCGCUUUCAGUUCUCACUUUGGAGUCCGGAUGGGCAAUAGGAAGAUGGCACCGGUUCUCAUCAGUACAGACCGAAUCGUGUACUGAGGAAAGACUGCUGAGAAGGAAGAUCUGAGAGAAGGGACAGAGGAAGAAGCUGAGGCUCCUGGGUAACCAACAUCUAAGCACCUUUGAAAGCCAAGUCAUCAGUGACCAAUGGGCUGACUUUACUGUGAGCUUUGUGGGAACCAUGGACUCUCACGGAGGAAGACUCCAUGAAGGACAUUGGGUCUGAAGAUUUUGUUCCAGCUAAUGCUCUAGAGGUGGGGCCCACCCACAGCAGGACAAAUGCCAGCCCCGUUGGUUACAAGGACUGCAAGGGCUGGAACUAGAAUCUCUGACCCCAGCUCAUCCCAGGAAAUGUUACACUCAACCCUCAGACCCUCGAGACUGCAUUUCUUACGGGGAUAACAUCAACAACGGGCGAUUCAGCCUGAGAAAAUGAGAGGUGCUUGCUUAUAUUUCAUUGCAAAAGGAAUCAUUUUGCUGAGCCAAGAAUAUUAAGGAAAACACUGGCCUCGUGUCGGCAACAAUGACCCUGAAACCUCUUCAAAUACCUCCCGCCCAUCUCGCCUUUUAUCAAAAAUGAAUAAAAUGCUGAACGAUAACCCACAAUAA